GUGUAAACUUUGUGACAUAUCACCAGUAUCAAGCAGGACUUGGGUGCUUUUUGAAAGGAACAGUCCAAUCUGUCAUAGCAGAUAACUUAGGAGCCCACGGGAUAGCAGGCUUUGUGGAAAACUUCUCGGAACGAGAGAAAGAUGUCAUGUCCAGUCAACUUGAGGAUCCUUUU